UCCUCCUCCUCCUCCUCCUCCUCCUCCUCCCCCCCCGGGGGUGGGGCCGGCGCGGGGGGAGCCUUCGGGGGCAUCUUCGUCAUCCUCGGCGUUGGAAGAGCCCUUCAGCGGCGGCGUCAACGUCAACGUUUUGAAGAGCCCGCCCAUUGUUGUUGGCCUUGGAAGAGCCCCGUGGUCAUCGUCAGCGUGAUGAAGAUCUCCCAUCAUCAUCGUCAUCAUUGGAAGAGCCUUCGUCAUCAUCAUCGUCAUCAUCAUCAUCGUCAUCUUCAUCAUCGUCAGCGUUGGAAGAGCCCUUCAUUGUCAACAUCAACGUUUUGAAGAGCCCGCCCAUUGUUGUUGGCCUUGGAAGAGCCCCGUCGUCAUCGUCGGCGUGAUGAAGAUCUCCCAUCAUCAUCGUCAUCAUUGGAAGAGCCUUCGUCAUCAUCAUCAUCGUCAUCAUCAUCAUCAUCUUCAUCAUCGUCAACGUUGGAAGAGCCCUUCAGUGGCGGCGGCAUCGUCAUCGGCGGCGUCGGCGGCGUUGUCGGCGUCAACGUUUUGAAGAGCCCGCCCAUUGGUGUCGGCCUUGGAAGAGCCCCGUGGUCAUCGUCGGCGUGAUGAAGAUCUCCCAUCAUCAUC
rnacentral:lncRNA from 1 species